rnacentral:rRNA from 1 species
UACGUAGGGUCCGAGCGUUGUCCGGAAUUACUGGGCGUAAAGAGCUCGUAGGUGGUUUGUCGCGUUGUUCGUGAAAACUCACAGCUUAACUGUGGGCGUGCGGGCGAUACGGGCAGACUAGAGUACGUGCAGGGGAGACUGGAAUUCCUGGUGUAGCGGUGAAAUGCGCAGAUAUCAGGAGGAACACCAGUGGCGAAGGCGGCUUACUGGUCCGGAACUGACGCU